CCUACGGGCGACAGCAGUGAGGAAUAUUGGUCAAUGGACGAGAGUCUGAACCAGCCAAGUAGCGUGAAGGAUGACUGCCCUAUGGGUUGUAAACUUCUUUUAUAUGGGAAUAAAACGUUCCACGUGUGGGAUUUUGUAUGUACCAUAUGAAUAAGGAUCGGCUAACUCCGUGCCAGCAGCCGCGGUAAUACGGAGGAUCCGAGCGUUAUCCGGAUUUAUUGGGUUUAAAGGGAGAUUAGGUGGAUUGUUAAGUCAGUUGUGAAAGUUUGCGGCUCAACCGUAAAAUUGCAGUUGAAACUGGCAGUCUUGAGUACAGUAGAGGUGGGCGGAAUUCGUGGUGUAGCGGUGAAAUGCUUAGAUAUCACGAAGAACUCCGAUUGCGAAGGCAGUUCACUGGACUGCAACUGACACUGAGGCUCGAAAGUGUGGGUAUCAAACAGGAUUAGAUACCCCUGUAGUC
rnacentral:rRNA from 1 species